CGGACGGGUGAGUAAGGCGUGGAAAACCUGCCGUAUACUGGGGGAUAACACUUAGAAAUAGGUGCUAAUACCGCAUAAGCGCACAGCUUCGCAUGAAGCGGUGUGAAAAACUCUGGUGGUAUACGAUGGUUCCGCGUCUGAUUAGCUAGUUGGUGGGGUAAUGGCCUACCAAGGCAACGAUCAGUAGCCGGCCUGAGAGGGUGAACGGCCACAUUGGGACUGAGACACGGCCCAAACUCCUACGGGAGGCAGCAG
rnacentral:rRNA from 1 species